UACGUAGGGUGCAAGCGUUGUCCGGAAUUAUUGGGCGUAAAGAGCUCGUAGGCGGUUUGUCGCGUCUGCUGUGAAAUCCCAGGGCUUAACCCUGGGCCUGCAGUGGGUACGGGCAAACUAGAGUGCGGUAGGAGGAUGGUGGAAUUCCCGGUGUAGCGGUGAAAUGCGUAGAGAUCGGGAGGAACACCCGUGGCGAAGGCGGCUACCUGGACUGACACUGACGCUGAGGCGCGAGAGCGUGGGGAGCAAACAGG
rnacentral:rRNA from 1 species